rnacentral:rRNA from 1 species
AGUGAUCAUUGGCGGCAGGCUUAACACAUGCAAGUCGAGCGAGGCUAAGAGCCGAGCGGCGAACGGGUGAGUAAUACUUGGGGAUCUACCACGGAGUGUGGGACAACGUUCAGAAAUGGACGCUAAUACCGCAUAAUCCAUAUUGGGAAAGCGCGCAGCGCACUGGGAUGAGCCCAUGUCUGAUUAGCUAGUUGGUGGGGUAAAGGCCUACCAAGGAGACGAUCAGUAGCUGGUCUGAGAGGAUGAUCAGCCACACUGGAACUGAGACACGGUCCAGACUCCUACGGGAGGCAGCAGUGGGGAAUAUUGGACAAUGGGGGCAACCCUGAUCCAGCCAUGCCGCGUGUGCGAUGAAGGCCCUAGGGUUGUAAAGCACUUUUGGCGGGGACGACGAUGACGGUACCCGCAGAAUAAGUCACGGCUAACUUCGUGCCAGCCGCCGCCUUAA